rnacentral:rRNA from 1 species
GUGAGGAAUAUUGGUCAAUGGGCGCAAGCCUGAACCAGCCAUCCCGCGUGAAGGAAGAAGGCCCUACGGGUUGUAAACUUCUUUUCUGUUUGAAGAAUAAGCUUGUCGAGACAAGUGAUGCCGGUAGGACAGGAAUAAGCAUCGGCUAACUCCGUGCCAGCAGCCGCGGUAAUACGGAGGAUGCAAGCGUUAUCCGGAUUUAUUGGGUUUAAAGGGUGCGCAGGUGGUUGAAUAAGUCAGUGGUGAAAGUCUGGCGCUUAACGUUAGGAUUGCCAUUGAUACUGUUUGACUUGAAUAUGGAUGAGGUAGGCGGAAUGUGUAGUGUAGCGGUGAAAUGCUUAGAUAUUACACAGAACACCGAUUGCGAAGGCAGCUUACUAAUCCAUUAUUGACGCUGAGGCACGAAAGCGUGGGGAUCAAACAGGAUUAGAUACCCUUGUAGUCC